AUCACUUCUCAGCCUUUUGGCUAAGAUCAAGUGAAGUAUCUGUUCUUAUCAGUUUAAAAGAAUCAAAUGCGUGUGUGUGUGUGUGUGUGUGUGUGUGUGUGUGUGUUUAAGGUAGUGCACUUGAAAUAUGACUUGAUUUUCAAAAAAUUUACCAGAAUACUCAUUUUUAGAAAGCAAAAUAUCACUCACUCUCU
ensembl:snRNA U2 U2 spliceosomal RNA